AUUGAACGCUGGCGGCAGGCCUAACACAUGCAAGUCGAGCGAGCGGGGGACGGGUGAGUAAUGUCUGGGAAACUGCCUGAUGGAGGGGGAUAACUACUGGAAACGGUAGCUAAUACCGCAUACCCUCAGAUGUGCCCAGAUGGGAUGAGCGCGUAGGUGGGGGAACGGCUCACCUAGGCGACGAUCCCUAGCUGGUCUGAGAGGAUGACCAGCCACACUGGCACUGAGACACGGCCCAGACUCCUAAGGGAGGCAGCAGUGGGGAAUAUUGGACAAGGGGCGAAAGCUGGAUGCAGCCCUGCCGAGUGUAUGAAGAAGGCCUUCGGGUUGUAAAGCACUUUCGGCGGGGAAGCGUUACCCGCAGAAGAAGCACCGGCUAACUCCGUGCCAGCAGCCGCGGUAAUAC
rnacentral:rRNA from 1 species